UACGGGGGGGCAAGCGUUGUUCGGAAUUACUGGGCGUAAAGGGCUCGUAGGCGGCCAACUAAGUCAUACGUGAAAUCCCUCGGCUUAACCGGGGAACUGCGUCUGAUACUGGAUGGCUUGAGUUCGGGAGAGGGAUGCGGAAUUCCAGGUGUAGCGGUGAAAUGCGUAGAUAUCUGGAGGAACACCGGUGGCGAAGGCGGCAUCCUGGACCGAUACUGACGCUGAGGAGCGAAAGCCAGGGGAGCAAACAGG
rnacentral:rRNA from 1 species